rnacentral:rRNA from 1 species
GACGUAGGGCGCGAGCGUUGUCCGGAUUUAUUGGGCGUAAAGAGCUCGUAGGCGGCUUGUCGCGUCGAAUGUGAAAUCUCAGGGCUCAACUCUGACAUUGCAUUCGAUACGGGCAGGCUAGAGUUCGGUAGGGGAGACUGGAAUUCCUGGUGUAGCGGUGAAAUGCGCAGAUAUCAGGAGGAACACCGGUGGCGAAGGCGGGUCUCUGGGCCGAUACUGACGCUGAUGCGCGAAAGCUAGGGGAGCAAACGGG